GCGCUCAUAGCUCAGUGGUAGAGCAGAUCCCUCUUAAGGAUACGGUCGGGGGUUCGAAUCCCUCUGGGCGCA
rnacentral:tRNA from 1 species